GUGGACAGGUUUCAGUGGAGCUUCCAGACUAAGACAGACUAGGAAGAAGGAGCUGGCCACCCAUUUCCAUGAAUCUCCAUGGAACCUUGUCUGAUACAGAGCUGAAGGCAUUCAGAACCUACUGAAGUGUAAAUCACUGCUUCAGAGAAGGCUGGCCACACCAGAGAACACAUUCGCAUGUUUGAACUUCUGAAGUUUCCUCUGAGGAAAGAAUUACCUCAAUAGUACCUGGCUUGAAUAUUUAUUAGGCACCAGGUACAUAACGUCCACUAAGUGUCUUCUACUGCUGUGCCUCCCGAUUCUCUGCUCAGGACCGAGUCACUCAUUAUUCUUAGUUUCUUGCAAGUCUUUGAAUUUGACCACACAAAGAUGAGUAUUUCUCUAGCAAGUUCCCCAGGUCCAAGAGAACCACUUAGCCCAAGAUCACAUCCCCUUCAUGAAGGAAGCACACACUUGUUGACUCUUCACAGCUGGCUCUUGGUGAGGAGAUGGACAUUUGCUACUAUCUCUGGUGUAAAUACGCCCAGCAUGGCCAAGUUCACCCGCUGAUGUGACAUCACUAAAUGCAAAAUGGAGAAGAGAUGCACACAAUUGCCUCUGUUGAGCGAUAAGAAUAAAUGAAUACUGUUUUCUGCACCCCGGUAUACAGUUGCAUAUUCUUCGUUGUGGGUCCUUCUAGUUGUGGUAUGUGGGACGCUGCCUCAGCAUGGUUUGAUGAGCGGUGCCAUGUUCGCGUCUGGGAUUUGAACCAACGAAACACUGGGCCGCCUGCAGUGGAGCACGUGAACUUAACCACUCGGCAACGGGGCCAGCCCAAGAUAAAAUCUGCUUUUAAUAUUCAUUUCAAUGGUUUCUUUUUACUUUUUUUUUUUGAGGAAGAUUGGCCUUGAGCUAACGUCUGUUGUCAAUCUUCCUCUUUUUACUUGAGGAAGAUUGUUGCUGAGCUAACAUCUGUGCCAAUCUUCUUCUAUUUUAUGCAGGAUGCCACCACAGCAUGGUUUGACGAUCAGAGCUAGGUCCUGGCCUGGAUCUGAACCUGCAAACUCCUGACCGCUGAAGCUGAGUGUGGGAAGGCAAUCACCACACCAACAGAGACUGCUUUUUCUCUAAGAUUGAGGAAAGAAAGAAAGAUGGAGUUGCAAAAGAAAAUAUUUCCAUUUCCAACACAUGUGUAUAUGGAACAGCAUGUAGUCAUUUUUUCCCCAGUUACAGGAAGGUCCCACUCUGCCUAAAGCAUUCUGUGAGGCAUUAGCCCAGCUCACCACGUGCACGGCAAACACAUGCAAGGAAAGCCAUUUUUACUGAGCAGAUCUGGUCCUGAGAAAGACAAACCCUUUUGGUUCUGUUUCAAGGCAGUUUAACCACCACGACGUAACAGCUGGAACUCCACUUUAGCCAUCUCUCACACAAGUCUUUCUGAUCGGUUAUGGAUUUUUCUCGUCAACAGCACAAACGCAGAAGGCUGACGACUGCUGGUUUCUGGCUGUCUGCUCACAAAGGCAGUUUGAUGGUGCGCUGAGCACUGGUAGAUUCCUUGUAUAUCUCCACAGCACACAUCGUAUCAGGAGAUACAUUCAGCCUGCUCUGUGCCCCCACUGCAAAAAAUUAAACUGAAUAAUCGAACAAACCACACCUUAAAUAAGAAAGAGAUUCUUUUCUAAGAUUGACAAAUUAUACUGAAAAUGUAUCAACUUUUCUCAACAAAAACUUUUUGGAAGGAUCAUUUCAAAUAUUUAAUGCUUUCUCUUUUUCCUUCAAAAUGGAAAACCCAAAUGUGAUGACUCUCCACUUACAAUGAGUUCAUUGUGCAUUUAUACAGGACACCAACCCUCAUGGCAGCCAGUGAUGUGCAUCUCUUUCCACAUUCCUGUGAAGUGACUUCUUUUUUUCUUUUUAAAGAUUGGCACCUGAGCUAACAACUGUUGCCAAUCUUCUUCUUUUUUUUCUUUCUUUCUGCCUUUUCUCCCCAAAUCCCCCCAGUACAUAGUUGUAUAUUUUAGUUGUGGGUUCUUCUAGUUGUGGCACGUGGGACGCCACCUCAGCGUGGCCUGAUGAGCGGUGCCAUGUCCGCACCCAGGAUCCGACCCGGCGAAACCCUGGGCUGCUGCAUCAGAGCGCGGGAACUCAACCACUCGGCCACGGGGCUGGCCCCAAGUGACUUCUCAUUGGUAGCUUGAGAGCAACAAACCAAACAAAUCAGGAUUUUCCCUCCAUCUGAGAGUUAGUUAUUAAAUAUUGACCAGCACACUUCUGAUUUUCAAUUUCCUUCCGUCUGAUCGUUCUGGGAUACGGCAAAGCUGAGCAUCAGAACUUGCAUCCUAGUAGAAGCACCAGGCAAAGAUACAGCAGAGCCACCUGGGUGCUGGUUGUUCAUCCUUUCCCUAGGCAAGAUUCUGACUUCUUAAAAUCCUUAUUUUUAAACUGCAACAAGAAUAUAUACAUUUUAAGUGGCAUUUUAUAAAGGAAAGGGACAAAAUUGUAAGAUAGCUAUUAUCUAAAUGACUAAAUAUGAUAAUGUCAACUUUUAUGGGCUUUACCAGUGAGGGAGCUUGUACGCUAUGAGACAGAGGCCUUGAGUGAAGAUUAGAGACCCUCUGCUCACUAAUGUGAUGUAAGGGAG
rnacentral:lncRNA from 1 species